AAGCGGUGGAGCAUGUGGUUAAUUCGAAGCAACGCGCAGAACCUUACCAACCCUUGACAUCGAGAUCGCGGUUUCCAGAGAUGGAUUCCUUCAGUUCGGCUGGAUCUUAGACAGGUGUUGCAUGGCUGUCGUCAGCUCGUGUCGUGAGAUGUUGGGUUAAGUCCCGCAACGAGCGCAACCCUCGCCUUUAGUUGCCAUCAUUAAGUUGGGCACUCUAGAGGGACUGCCGGUGAUAAGCCGGAGGAAGGUGGGGACGACGUCAAGUCCUCAUGGCCUUUAUGCCUAGGGCUACACACGUGCUACAAUGGAUCGUACAAAGGGUCGCGAACCCGCGAGGGGGAGCCAAUCCCAAAAACCGGUCCUCAGUUCGGAUUGGAGUCUGCAACUCGACUCCAUGAAGUUGGAAUCGCUAGUAAUCGUGGAUCAGCAUGCCACGGUGAAUACGUUCCCGGGUCUU
rnacentral:rRNA from 1 species